UUCGGAGGUACUCGAGUGGCGAACGGGUGAGUAACACGUGGGCAAUCUGCCCUGCACUUCGGGAUAAGCCUGGGAAACUGGGUCUAAUACCGGAUAGGACCUCAAGACGCAUGUCUUCUGGUGGAAAGCUUUUGCGGUGUGGGAUGGGCCCGCGGCCUAUCAGCUUGUUGGUGGGGUGACGGCCUACCAAGGCGACGACGGGUAGCCGGCCUGAGAGGGUGUCCGGCCACACUGGGACUGAGAUACGGCCCAGACUCCUACGGGAGGCAGCAGUGGGGAAUAUUGCACAAUGGGCGCAAGCCUGAUGCAGCGACGCCGCGUGGGGGAUGACGGCCUUCGGGUUGUAAACCUCUUUCACCAUCGACGAAGGUCCGGGUUUUCUCGGAUUGACGGUAGGUGGAGAAGAAGCACCGGCCAACUACGUGCCAGCAGCCGCGGUAAUACGUAGGGUGCGAGCGUUGUCCGGAAUUACUGGGCGUAAAGAGCUCGUAGGUGGUUUGUCGCGUUGUUCGUGAAAUCUCACGGCUUAACUGUGAGCGUGCGGGCGAUACGGGCAGACUAGAGUACUGCAGGGGAGACUGGAAUUCCUGGUGUAGCGGUGGAAUGCGCAGAUAUCAGGAGGAACACCGGUGGCGAAGGCGGGUCUCUGGGCAGUAACUGACGCUGAGGAGCGAAAGCGUGGGGAGCGAACAGGAUUAGAUACCCUGGUAGUCCACGCCGUAAACGGUGGGUACUAGGUGUGGGUUUCCUUCCUUGGGAUCCGUGCCGUAGCUAACGCAUUAAGUACCCCGCCUGGGGAGUACGGCCGCAAGGCUAAAACUCAAAGGAAUUGACGGGGGCCCGCACAAGCGGCGGAGCAUGUGGAUUAAUUCGAUGCAACGCGAAGAACCUUACCUGGGUUUGACAUGCACAGGACGCGUCUAGAGAUAGGCGUUCCCUUGUGGCCUGUGUGCAGGUGGUGCAUGGCUGUCGUCAGCUCGUGUCGUGAGAUGUUGGGUUAAGUCCCGCAACGAGCGCAACCCUUGUCUCAUGUUGCCAGCGGGUAAUGCCGGGGACUCGUGAGAGACUGCCGGGGUCAACUCGGAGGAAGGUGGGGAUGACGUCAAGUCAUCAUGCCCCUUAUGUCCAGGGCUUCACACAUGCUACAAUGGCCGGUACAAAGGGCUGCGAUGCCGUAAGGUUAAGCGAAUCCUUUUAAAGCCGGUCUCAGUUCGGAUUGGGGUCUGCAACUCGACCCCAUGAAGUCGGAGUCGCUAGUAAUCGCAGAUCAGCAACGCUGCGGUGAAUACGUUCCCGGGCCUUGUACACACCGCCCGUCACGUCAUGAAAGUCGGUAACACCCGAAGCC
rnacentral:rRNA from 1 species